rnacentral:lncRNA from 1 species
AGUCAGUGGAAAGACAUACAUGUAGAAUCAACAUCCUAGAUGAUUUUUCAAUUUAUAUACAGACUAUGAAAACACUGCUGUAGUUCUUUGAUUCUUUAAUAAGUUGUACAUGUUGUUGUGAUGUAACAAAUUACUUUUCAUAAACUACAUGUACAAAAUGAAUGAAAGAAGGUAAGAUAUUAAAGUUAGUCUCAAAUAGUUAUUUUUACUUGUGAGAAAGUUGCAUGUAAUAUUUCAUAGAAAAUGAUUCUUCUUCUUGUUAUUGACUUACAAAUGUAACUCAGUCUCAAAUGAAAUGAAAGUUCAAAGAUUUAAGAAUACAAACAAGUACAUGUGUGCAUAAACAAAUAUUAAAAUAUUAUUGUCUACAUGUGUAUACUCGGAUGUAUAUUAACAUUGCCAUGUAAAAUAUCAGAAUAUUUUUAUAGUAUACAGCUGUUGACCAUUUUUACAACACAGACUACAAAUUUUGUGGUCUCAGUGAAAUUAAGUCCUGUUUUUGCAGAUUUUUCCAUCUUUCAUACAUGUAGGUGUAAUUAAGAUUGAGCCAAACUGCAUGGAAAAAUGUACUGGAACAGUUUACUUUUAAAAUAUUGAUGUACUUUGUAAUGAGCACCAUAGGCUGAUCUAGGGGGCUGGGUGAAGACUGAACCCCUUUUGGUGGAAAAAAAUUGCUUAAUUAUAUAUGAAAUCACUGAAGCAUGACUGAGAGCAGUCCCCUUAGGUCAGUCAGAGUACAACAAGUUCUGGAUCUGUCACUGAGCAUCUACAUGUAUACCAAUCAAUAUAAAAUACCUGACACUCUAAAAUAAGAGAAUAAAACAACCACAAACUUUUGAAUAGUUUACAAUCAGGACAACAACAACAUUGACCUUCGUCAUUUUUGGGGUCAAGGUGACAGGGCUGCCACUUUUUAAGAACAAUGUCAUCAUUGAUUAUUUCAAUUACAUUUUUUUAGAUUGAAAUGCUUUUGUAAAAUUUAGUUACACAUUUAUGAUAAUUUGAUAAAGCUUAGAACAAUGUAAUAGUUUUGUUUUAAACUAUUUUUUAUACAUGUAUCUGCAAUAAAAUGAGAAGUGUUAUUGUCUUUAUAAGACAUUAAUAUAUAAGUCACAUUUAAAUUGUACUUUUAAAUUGCAUAUUGUAAUUUUUUUUCUUAUAUUGGAUUUGUUUUUCACUACAUGUAUAACAUUAUAAUUUCAGGUUAGAAUGCAAAACUGGUGAAGAUGAAGGUUAUAAUUGUGAUAUACAUAUUGAUUAAUUUGAAGCAGAUUUUGUUCUUAAGAGUGAAAUAAAAAAAAAACAGACGUGUGUUUUAGAAAGAUGUUCAACUAUUAACAAGACAACAAACAUAUUCAUUGUAUGACUGAGAGAGA